CCNAUGUAUGCUUUGGAAACUGUUAGACUUGAGUGCAGAAGGGGAGAGUGGAAUUCCAUGUGUAGCGGUGAAAUGCGUAGAUAUAUGGAGGAACACCGGUGGCGAAAGCGGCUCUCUGGUCUGUCACUGACGCUGAGGCUCGAAAGCGUGGGUAGCGAACAGGAUUAGAUACCCUGGUAGUCCACGCCGUAAACGCUGAGUGCUAGGUGUUAGGUCCUUUCCGGGACUUAGUGCCGACGCUAACGCAUUAAGCACUCCGCCUGGGGAGUACGACCGCAAGGUUGAAACUCAAAGGAAUUGACGGGGGCCCGCACAAGCGGUGGAGCAUGUGGUUUAAUUCGAAGCAACGCGAAGAACCUUACCAGGUCUUGACAUCCCGAUGCCCGCUCUAGAGAUAGAGUUUUUCUUCGGAACAUCGGAGACAGGUGGUGCAUGGUUGUCGUCAGCUCGUGUCGUGAGAUGUUGGGUUAAGUCCCGCAACGAGCGCAACCCUUAUUGUUAGUUGCCAUCAUUAAGUUGGGCACUCUAGCGAGACUGCCGGUAAUAAACCGGAGGAAGGUGGGGAUGACGUCAAAUCAUCAUGCCCCUUAUGACCUGGGCUACACACGUGCUACAAUGGUUGGUACAACGAGUCGCAAGCCGGUGACGGCAAGCUAAUCUCUGAAAGCCAAUCUCAGUUCGGAUUGUAGGCUGCAACUCGCCUACAUGAAGUCGGAAUCGCUAGUAAUCGCGGAUCAGCACGCCGCGGUGAAUACGUUCCCGGGCCUUGUACACACCGCCCGUCACACCACGAGAGUUUGUAACACCCAGAGUCGGUGAGGUAACCAUUUAUGGGNCCA
rnacentral:rRNA from 1 species